rnacentral:rRNA from 2 species
UGGGGAAUAUUGCACAAUGGAGGGAACUCUGAUGCAGCGACGCCGCGUGAACGAAGAAGGCUUUCGAGUCGUAAAGUUCUUUUAUAUGGGAAGAUAAUGACGGUACCAUAAGAAAAAGCCCCGGCUAACUACGUGCCAGCAGCCGCGGUAAUACGUAGGGGGCUAGCGUUGUCCGGAAUCACUGGGCGUAAAGGGUUCGCAGGCGGAAAUGCAAGUCAGGUGUAAAAGGCAGUAGCUUAACUACUGUAAGCAUUUGAAACUGCAUAUCUUGAGAAGAGUAGAGGUAAGUGGAAUUUUUAGUGUAGCGGUGAAAUACGUAGAUAUUAAAAAGAAUACCGGUGGCGAAGGCGACUUACUGGGCUCAUUCUGACGCUGAGGAACGAAAGCGUGGGUAGCAAACAGG